rnacentral:tRNA from 1 species
GCUCUUGUAGCUCAGUUGGUUAGAGCACUCGUUUAGUAAGCGGGAGGUCUUGAGUUCAACUUUCAACAAGAGCA